AACAAACGCUGGCGGCGUGCCUAACACAUGCAAGUCGUACGAGAAAGAGUCCUUCGGGGCUUGAGUAAAGUGGCGCACGGGUGAGUAACGCGUGGAUAAUCUGCCCUUCAGUUGGGAAUAACUCAUCGAAAGGUGGGCUAAUACCGAAUAACACUGUGAGACUUUGGUCGAUCAGCCAAAGAGAGCCUCUGCUUGCAUGCCCUCGCUGAAGGAUGAGUCCGCGUACCAUUAGCUAGUUGGUAGGGUAAUGGCCUACCAAGGCGACGAUGGUUAGCUGGUCUGAGAGGAUGAUCAGCCACACUGGAACCGAGACACGGUCCAGACUCCUACGGGAGGCAGCAGUGAGGAAUCUUGCGCAAUGGGGGCAACCCUGACGCAGCAACGCCGCGUGAGUGAGGAAGGUCUUCGGAUCGUAAAGCUCUGUCAGAUGGAAAGAACCGCAUGGGGGUGAAUAUCCCCUAUGUCUGACGGUACCAUCAGAGGAAGCACCGGCUAACUCCGUGCCAGCAGCCGCGGUAA
rnacentral:rRNA from 1 species